rnacentral:rRNA from 1 species
UAGGGAUAAACCUUUCCACGUGUGGAAAGCUGAAGGUACUAUACGAAUAAGCACCGGCUAACUCCGUGCCAGCAGCCGCGGUAAUACGGGGGGUGCAAGCGUUAUCCGGAUUUAUUGGGUUUAAAGGGUCCGUAGGCGGGCUCGUAAGUCAGUGGUGAAAUCUCAUAGCUUAACUAUGAAACUGCCAUUGAUACUGCGAGCCUUGAGUAAGGUAGAGGUAGCUGGAAUAAGUAGUGUAGCGGUGAAAUGCAUAGAUAUUACUUAGAACACCAAUUGCGAAGGCAGGUUACCAUGUCUUAACUGACGCUGAUGGACGAAAGCGUGGGGAGCGAACAGGAUUAGAUACCCUGGUAGUCCACGCCGUAAACGAUGCUAACUCGUUUUUGGGGCUUUACGCUUCAGAGACUAAGCGAAAGUGAUAAGUUAGCCACCUGGGGAGUACGUUCGCAAGAAUGAAACUCAAAGGAAUUGACGGGGGCCCGCACAAGCGGUAGAUUAUGUGGUUUAAUUCGAUGAUACGCGAGGAACCUUACCAAGGCUUAAAUGGGAAUUGACAGGUUUAGAAAUAGACUUUUCUUCGGACAAUUUUCAAGGUGCUGCAUGGUGUCGUCAGC